AACGAACGCUGGCGGCAGGCUUAACACAUGCAAGUCGAACGGUAAGGCCCUUCGGGGUACACGAGUGGCGAACGGGUGAGUAACACGUGGGUGAUCUGCCCUGCACUUCGGGAUAAGCCUGGGAAACUGGGUCUAAUACCGGAUAGGACUCCUGGCUUCAUGGUUGGGGGUGGAAAGCUUUUGCGGUGUGGGAUGGGCCCGCGGCCUAUCAGCUUGUUGGUGGGGUAAUGGCCUACCAAGGCGACGACGGGUAGCCGGCCUGAGAGGGUGACCGGUCACACUGGGACUGAGAUACGGCCCAGACUCCUACGGGAGGCAGCAGUGGGGAAUAUUGCACAAUGGGCGCAAGCCUGAUGCAGCGACGCCGCGUGAGGGAUGACGGCCUUCGGGUUGUAAACCUCUUUCAGCUAUGACGAAGCGCAAGUGACGGUAGUAGCAGAAGAAGGACCGGCCAACUACGUGCCAGCAGCCGCGGUAA
rnacentral:rRNA from 1 species